GCUGGGCGUGGUGGCGGGCGCCUGUAAUCCCAGCUACUCGGGAGGCUGAGGCAGGGGAAUCGCUUGAACCCAGGAGCCAGAGGCUGCAGUGAGCCGAGAUCGCGCCACUGUACUCCAGCCUGGGCAACAGAGUGAGGCUCUGUCUCAA
rfam:Homo sapiens chromosome 19, GRCh38 reference primary assembly.